rnacentral:rRNA from 1 species
GACGAACGCUGGCGGCGUGCUUAACACAUGCAAGUCGAACGAAGAGCGAUGGAAGCUUGCUUCUAUCAAUCUUAGUGGCGAACGGGUGAGUAACGCGUAAUCAACCUGCCCUUCAGAGGAGGACAACAGUUGGAAACGACUGCUAAUACCGCAUACGAUCUAAUCUCGGCAUCGAGGAUAGAUGAAAGGUGGCCUCUACAUGUAAGCUAUCACUGAAGGAGGGGAUUGCGUCUGAUUAGCUAGUUGGAGGGGUAACGGCCCACCAAGGCGAUGAUCAGUAGCCGGUCUGAGAGGAUGAACGGCCACAUUGGGACUGAGACACGGCCCAGACUCCUACGGGAGGCAGCAGUGGGGAAUCUUCCGCAAUGGACGAAAGUCUGACGGAGCAACGCCGCGUGAGUGAUGACGGCCGUCGGGUUGUAAAGCUCUGUUAAUCGGGACGAAAGGCCUUCUUGCGAAUAGUGAGAAGGAUUGACGGUACCGGAAUAGAAAGCCACGGCUAACUACGUG